CCUACGGGUGGCAGCAGUGAGGAAUAUUGGUCAAUGGGCGGGAGCCUGAACCAGCCAAGUCGCGUGAGGGAAGACGGUACUGAGUAUUGUAAACCUCUUUUGCCAGGGGACAAAGGCGGACACGGGAGGCCGUAAGAGGGUACCUGGAGAAAAAGCAUCGGCUAACUCCGUGCCAGCAGCCGCGGUAAUACGGAGGAUGCGAGAGUUAUCCGGAUUGAUUGGGUUUAAAGGGUGCGCAGGCGGCGUGUCAAGUCAGCGGUAAAAUGUCGGUGCUCAACCCCGUUCGGCUGGUGAAUCUGGCGUGCUCGAGUUGGAGAGAAGUAUGCGGAAUGCGUGGUUUA
rnacentral:rRNA from 1 species